AGAGUUUGAUCCUGGCUCAGAGUGAACGCUGGCGGUAGGCCUAACACAUGCAAGUCGAACGGCAGCACAGUAAGAGCUUGCUCUUACGGGUGGCGAGUGGCGGACGGGUGAGGAAUACAUCGGAAUCUACUUUUUCGUGGGGGAUAACGUAGGGAAACUUACGCUAAUACCGCAUACGACCUACGGGUGAAAGCAGGGGAUCUUCGGACCUUGCGCGAUUGAAUGAGCCGAUGUCGGAUUAGCUAGUUGGCGGGGUAAAGGCCCACCAAGGCGACGAUCCGUAGCUGGUCUGAGAGGAUGAUCAGCCACACUGGAACUGAGACACGGUCCAGACUCCUACGGGAGGCAGCAGUGGGGAAUAUUGGACAAUGGGCGCAAGCCUGAUCCAGCCAUACCGCGUGGGUGAAGAAGGCCUUCGGGUUGUAAAGCCCUUUUGUUGGGAAAGAAAUCCAGCUGGUUAAUACCCGGUUGGGAUGACGGUACCCAAAGAAUAAGCACCGGCUAGCUUCGUGCCAGCAGCCGCGGUAAUACGAAGGGUGCAAGCGUUACUCGGAAUUACUGGGCGUAAAGCGUGCGUAGGUGGUUGUUUAAGUCUGUUGUGAAAGCCCUGGGCUCAACCUGGGAACUGCAGUGGAACAGGACGACUAGAGUGUGGUAGAGGGUAGCGGAAUUCCUGGUGUAGCAGUGAAAUGCGUAGAGAUCAGAGGACAUCCAUGGCGAAGCAGCUACCUGGACNACACUGACAACUGAAGCACGAAGCGUGGGGAGCAACAGGAUUAGAUACCCUGGUAGUCACGCCCUAAACGAUGCGACUGGAUGUGGGUGGCANNNNACGCAGNAUCGAAGCUACGCGGUUAAGUUCGCNCC
rnacentral:rRNA from 1 species